rnacentral:lncRNA from 1 species
AGAUACCAACAUGAGCAUGAAACAUACUCCACAAAGGAGCUGUUCAACAAGGGGUCCCAUGAUUUCAGGGCCACUAGUCCAGAAAAGGAUAUUCAGUCACGGUGCAAAAGAAGAGGGUAUAUGAGGACCUCUUUGAAGGGAGCUGAGAAAAGGACCUGGGGAAGCCCCUCAGCCUGGUGAUCUUUCUCCUGCUUCCUGAAAACCCAGCACUCUUCAUACCUAUCCUAUCCUGGCUUGGCUGUAGACUGAGUGGACGGUCUUUCCUCCAGAGGAACUUCUAUGAGAGUCCAACAGACAACCAGAUUCCAGAAUCAUAUGGAGAAACCAGCUUUCUAUCCAUGGCCUAAAGGAAGCUGAAACAGCUUAGAGGCUGAAGAAAUGAACCACAGAGCUUGAAACAGAGGCAAUCAAGUCAUCUCAAACAGCGGGACUAGGAAAUCUAAGUCAAGUCUGAAGAGAAAGGUAGUGAAAGACUUACCAUUUUUCUUUUUCUUUUUCAAAAGAAGUCAAUGGCCAUUCAGUGUUUAAAUGAGAACAAAGACUACAGGGGGGAAAAAUUAAGGUAAAUAUUUGUAAUAAUGUGUCAUUGCAUUUUACAUAAUGGGCCAGCAGUCUUUGAAAUGUGACGACAUCCAUAUCUACAGUUUUAUUUGUUUUUUCUUAUUUGCUCUCCUGAGGCAAGUCUCUUUUAGGCUGUCAGCCACCAAAGCAGCUAGCAAAUACAAGGACACUGAAAGGCAUUCUGCCAACACGACCUCAGAAGUAUUUACAGACUGCAAUGGAGACCAUGAUAUAAUUCAGUUUCUGCAUGGCUAUACUCUUUGCCAAUUAAUAUUCUAAUGUAUCCUUUGAGGAUGUGGUAAAUGUUGGUUUAAGAUAAAACAGCAAAGACAAAUAUUAGUGUGCCACAUAAAGGUAUUACUUGCCAUGAGAGCACUGUUUCUUAGUACAGACUACCUGGAUUGCACAACCAGAGAUUCUGGUCUCACUGGACCAGAGUGUACAGCCUGGGUACCAGGAUUUUCAAAUAGCCUCGUCCACCUAGUGAUUCUAAUAAGCAGCUAUGAUUGAGAAACACUGUACUCGUCAAUUACCAGAAUGUUUUGUAUUCUAUUUGGAACACAACUAAAAUUUGACCUGAUGAACUCGUGCAAAAUAUUAAAAGCUGAACCUGCAGAGGCCAGAUGCAGUGGCUCAUGCCUGUAAUCUUACCACGUUGGGAGGCUGAGUCAGGCAGAUCGCUUGAACCCAGGGGUUCAAGACCAGCCUAGGCUACAUGGUGAAACUUCAUCUCUAUUAAAAAUACAAAAAUUAGCCAGGCAUGGUGAUAUGCACCUGUAGUCCCAGCUACUCAGGAGGCUAAGGUGGGAGAAUGGCUUGAACCUCCAGAGGCAAAGGUUGCAGUGAGCUAUGAUCGUGCCACUGUACUCCAGUUUGGGUGACAGAAUGAGACCCUGUCUCAAAAACAAACAACAAACAAAAAAGGCUGAAACUGCAGAGAAAUAGGGAGAGGACUAUGGAAAUAUUAUAGAAAGAUAAAUAGCUGAAGAAGUAAUGUCACCGCCACACACCCUAACCUGAUAUUUGAGGAAAAGAGACGAAACACACAAGUAACAAAAACAAAAGGUGAAGCUUGGUUAGUCCAAUCCUUGAUGCCCAGAAAAAAAUCUUACAGGAGACCAGAAGAUAAGGGCCAACAAAAGCUGAACAGAAGUUCAGUGAAAAUCAGUAAGGUCUUUAGGAUAGUCUAGUUCUGCCUCAUUUUCCUGAGGCAGCAGUGGGAAGCAGCUGGCCCUCCUGCCCCUCUCCCCAGCCCCUCCAGGCCUGCAUGCUAUCCUUGGGGACCCUAGGCCUCUGCUGGGAUUUCCCUCUGCUGUGGGGAUUUCCAUGCUGGCCUAGAGGCCCGCGGCAAGUAGCCCAGUUGCUAGAGCCUGGAGGCAGGUGAGCAGGGUGGUAGAAGGUGAGGGAGUGAUGUCAGAGAAGCCUCUCAACAGACAGCAUCAGCUUCCUGACGCUUAGAAGACCCCUUGUUUCUUCCAUCUCUUCAGAGCCAGGGCCAUCAGGUGGCCCAUAAACUCCUUUUUCACAUGCAAGCUGAGAAGGCUGUGAGCCAGCCACAUGGCAGGGGGUUGAGAGGCCAUCACCCUGCGUGUUCACCGCCUCUCCUCGCUGCUGCUGGAAGGAAAGGGCUUUGCCUCCAGUUAAGGGAACAUGAGGUCCUCAUAAAGGUUUCAGAGAGUUGGAGCAGAGAUGGAGGGGCUGAUAACUUGUCUCUGUCCCUAAUAUCUGACAGAAACAAAGAGCAAGGAAUACAACACUUACUAUUUAACAUUUAAUUUAGGAUGGCACCAAUUUCCAUUAAGUGAAGCAUCAAGGAAAAAUGCUGAUAUUGAUAGUCUUCUAGGAUCCUUAAUCAUUCUCAUAAUUUUAAAAAAAUCUAAAGAUUUUCUGAGCUAGAUAUGGUAGUAAUUAUAAUUUUUGUAGUAUAUAUCAUGUGUAUUACAAAAAGAUACAUAUAAAUAUGUAUAAAAUAUGAUAUAUUUUCUGUAAAUUCUUUAUCCUAGUAUUUAAUUCCCAUGACACAAUAAUUAUGCAUAUUAUUAAACCUGUUUCAUCGUCGAGUCAUUUGGUUAAAAUAACUGUAUUCGGGGAUGUUUAAUCCUUACAGCUCCUUGAACCAAAAGCCUGGAGGUUUAGUUACAGGUUUACAAAUCACAGGGAAAACUGUUCCUAGUAGCUUUCUCAUGCUAUCAUAGCCUUUGUCUUUUUCUGCCUCUCCUUUGUCAAAAUAUAUCUGUCAGAGAAAGAUUUCUCACCAUGAUAAUCAGUAAAUCUCCCCAAGAAAUGACUGUAAAAUUGGAUAACAUUGUCAAAAAUAACAAUUUUAGGCCUUUGAAAACUAAGCAAAGACAAGAAAAUAAGCAAACAAACCAACUGAGAAGGAUUUACCCAUUAAAUAAAAGACAGAUAGACUUUGGGCCUCCAUGGUAUUCUUGCCUGGGGCUGCUCCCAUCAUCUCUCCAGCUCAAGGGUCUUGGUAGUUCUACCAGGGCAGGGCUGGUCAUGAAAACCAGCAGCUUCACUCCUAGCAGGGCUCACUCGUGUCUAGUGGGACUGUCAGUAAAAUAAUAAGGCUAGUAACACACAUGCCUCAUAGUCUGAGGUUGCUCUCACAGAUCGGGGGCAUUUCAGGCUGGCAGACUAGCCAGACAUUUAGCAAAGAGAUCCUAGAAAUGAGAGCACUGCAGAAAGCCUAGAUAAGACCCCAGGCAGACGGGGAUGGGAUGCUACACACAUGCUCAUGGGACACCCAGAAGGGCCCAGUUGAAAGUAAAACCCAGGGAAGACUUGAAAACUGUCUGAACUUGGAACAUGCUCCUGUUACCACAUCAGCAGAAGGUGGAAGCUCUGCUGGCUUGAGGUGUUUGAGCACAACAUCUGACCAGUCUUUGGGUGACCACUAAACUACAAGAUGCAGGGGAAUCCCGUGGGAACCCAGGCUAGUAAAAUGAAAAUAAGAAUUAAAAAAAAAAAAGAAAAAAAUAGCUGCCUGACAUCAGUGGGGAAACAAGUUCUGCAGAAUAAGUCUAGGCAACUUACUAAAACAGCAAGAGCAGCAGCAACAACAAAAUGACAACAACCUUUGGGGGGAAAGUAAGAAUCCAGAAUUUUGACAUCAUCUAUUUGCUAAAAUGACUGGUUUUCAACAAAAUAUCAUGAGAUAGGCAAAGAAAUAAGAUGGUAUGACCUAUAUUCAGGAAAAAUAUCAGUCAACAGAAACUGUCUUGGAGCAGGCCCUAAUGUUGAAUUUAGCACAGGAAGAAACAAUCCAAAAUGAAGCAAAAAAAAAAAUGACUGAAGAAAAUACUGAGCAGAGCACUAGAGGCCUAUGAGAAAACAGCAAGCUGUCAUUGGACUCUGUACUCGGUCUCAGAAGAAAGUGAUAGGAAAAAAAAAUCAAAAGUCUGUGGGAAUAACGGCCACACAUUGUAAGCACAUAACAACACAUUCUGAAAAGAAAGAAUAUCCUAAAAACAGACAAAUAAACAAUAUGUAGAAGUACAAUAAUAAAAAAAAAUGGCUGAUUUUCAGGAAAACAGUGCAGCCUCAUUUCAAAACACACACACACAAGGUCUGUCAACCUAGAGUUCUCUAUAUCCAGAAAAAGAACAUAUAUCUAGUAAUAAUAUCCUUCAAAGCAAAGAUGAAAUGAAGACAUAUUCAUAUCAACUAAAGCUGAGAAGAAUCCUUUGCCAGUAGACCUACGUUGUGAGAAAUGCUAAAAAAAAAAAAAAAAAAACAGGUUUUCAUGCUGAAAUCAUACUAGUCUGAAACUUGAUAACUUAGUUCUACAGGAAAGCUUAAAAAGUACCUGAAAUGGUAAAGAAGUAGAUAAAUACGUAAUACUA